rnacentral:rRNA from 1 species
CUACGGGACGCUGCAGUGAGGAAUAUUGCACAAUGGGGGGAACCCUGAUGCAGCAACGCCGCGUGGAGGAUGACGCAUUUCGGUGUGUAAACUCCUUUUAUAUGUCAAGAAAAUGACGGUAGCAUAUGAAUAAGCACCGGCUAACUCCGUGCCAGCAGCCGCGGUAAUACGGAGGGUGCAAGCGUUACUCGGAAUCACUGGGCGUAAAGGGACGCGUAGGCGGGUUGGAAAGUCAGGUGUGAAAUCCUACAGCUUAACUGUAGAACUGCACUUGAAACUUCUAAUCUAGAGUAUGGGAGGGGGAGAUGGAAUUAGUGGUGUAGGGGUAAAAUCUGUAGAUAUCACUAGGAAUACCUAAAGCGAAGGCGAUCUCCUGGAACAUUACUGACGCUAAGGCGUGAAAGCGUGGGGAGCAAACAGGAUUAGAUACCCUUGUAGUC